ACACACACACACACACAUAGCAGCUGAACCCAGAGAUGUUACGUAUGCUGACGUUAGAAUCACACAGGACCCAGAACCCAGGAGAAGGAGAGGUACACACACACACACACACACACACACACACACACACACACACACACACACACACACACACACACACACAUAGCUGCUGAACCCAGAGAUGUUACGUAUGCUGACGUUAGAAUCACACAGGACCCAGAACACAGGAGAAGGAGAGGUACACACACAGAGACAGAGACAGAGACAGAGACACACACACACACAUAGCAGCUGAACCCAGAGAUGUUACGUAUGCUGACGUUAGAAUCACACAGGUCCCAGAACCCAGGAGAAGGAGAGGUACACACACACACACACAUAGCUGCUGAACCCAGAGAUGUUGCGUAUGCUGAUGUCAGAAUCACACAGGACCCAGAACCCAGGAGAAGGAGAGGUACACACACACACACACAUAGCUGCUGAACCCAGAGAUGUUACGUAUGCUGAUGUCAGAAUCACACAGGACCCAGAACCCAGGAGAAGGAGAGGUACACACACACACACACACACACACACACACACACAGACACACACACACACACACACACACACACACACACACACACACACACACACACACACACACACAUAGCUGCUGAACCCAGAGAUGUUACGUAUGCUGACGUUAGAAUCACACAGGACCCAGAACACAGGAGAAGGAGAGGUACACACACACACACACACACACACACACACACACACACACACAGACACACAGACACACACACACACACACACACACAGACACACACACACACACACACACACACACACACACACAUAGCUGCUGAACCCAGAGAUGUUACGUAUGCUGACGUUAGAAUCACACAGGACCCAGAACACAGGAGAAGGAGAGGUACACACACACACACACACACACACACACACACACACACACAGUACAGUGUCUUUAUGUCUUCAACCUGUUGUCUCGUCUCCUGCAGAGAAGUCUCCAGGAGCUGAUCCAGUCUACUCUGCAGUGAAGACCUCCAACACCACAGUUCCAGGUGGAUCUGGUCCAGGUGAUGUGACCUAUGCUGACAUCAACCACACAGAGAAGAGACAACACAACAGGAGGAGAGAGAAGGUCGUUCCAGACCCUGUCUACUCAGCAGUGAAGACAGAGAGAGAUACAGGUCAAAAGGUCGUUCCAGACCCUGUCUACUCAGCGGUGAAGACAGAC
ensembl:lncRNA